rnacentral:rRNA from 1 species
UACGUAGGGUGCAAGCGUUAAUCGGAAUUACUGGGCGUAAAGCGUGCGCAGGCGGCGCCGCAAGUCAGGCGUGAAAUCCCCGAGCUCAACUUGGGAAUUGCGCUUGAAACUACGGUGCUGGAGUAUGGCAGAGGGAGGUGGAAUUCCACGUGUAGCGGUGAAAUGCGUAGAUAUCUGGAGGAACACCGGUGGCGAAGGCGGCAUCCUGGACCAAUACUGACACUAAAGCGCGAAAGCCAGGGGAGCAAACGGG